rnacentral:rRNA from 1 species
CCUACGGGAGGCUGCAGUGGGGAAUAUUGCACAAUGGGGGAAACCCUGAUGCAGCGACGCCGCGUGAGGGAAGAAGUAUCUCGGUAUGUAAAGCUCUAUCAGCAGGGAAGAAAAUGACGGUACCUGAUUAAGAAGCCCCGGCUAACUACGUGCCAGCAUCCGCGGUAAUACGUAGGGGGGAAGCGUUAUCCGGAUUUACUGGGUGUAAAGGGAGCGUAGACGGCAAGGCAAGGCAGAAGGGAAAGGGGAGGGCUCAACCCUGGACAUGCCUUUGGAACUGUGGUGCUAGAGUGCAGGAGAGGUAAGUGGAAUUCGUGGUGUAGCGGUGAAAUGCGUAGAUAUCACGAGGAACACCAGUGGCGAAGGCGGCUUACUGGAGUGUAACUGACGUUGAGGCUCGAAAGUGUGGGGAGCAAACAGGAUUAGAUACCCCUGUAGUC